UUACUUUCACUUUCGAUUUACCACUUCCGGGUACAUCGGCAGACCUAUUUACCGUUACGCAUAUAGGUAACCAGAAGAACUCGAGGGAUAUAGAAGUUAAAUUUGUUUCGGUCCUCUUCAGAUUUGAAGGAAUGGAUAGCACGGGUCAAAAAAUGCAGAUGUAUAGACAAGGAGGUAUAUGACAAGUAUAGAAUAUACAGUUGUUCAAUAUGGACCAUUAAUCAACUGUUUGCACUGCCUAUGAUCCUGAAAUAUCUAUACAUCAAAGAUAAAAAGGGAAUUUUAAGAUGAAGGAGGAUUUGUCCAUGAAGACCUUUAUUGCAACUACCAUCUUCCAGUUCCUUAAUUUGAGAAUGAUAUCAGAGAACACACAGUUAGAGUGAAAUAUUAGUUUAAAUUGUUUAAUAUAAGCCACUGAGAAUAGUCAAAUGUACUUUCCUGAAGAAGAUGAAUGACAUCCAGCACAAAAAAACUUAAUGUAUAAAGAGUAUGAUUUUAUGGUGUUUGACACUAUGAUCUUGUUAACAUGUUAAUGUCACAAUGAUAGAAACAGAGUAAAAUAUCCACAUUUCAUUGCAGUUUUAAGUAUUAAAACUAGAUACUCUAUAUAUACCAAAGCUGAUAACACACCAGAGAUAAGGUUUUUCAUGGAAUCACUGUAUAGUCAUAUGACAUUAUGGACAUUAAAUGACUAUGAAUAUCAAGCUGACCAUUUUUCAAUUAGAAUAUGAUUUAUAACUCUAUGAUAAUUUGUUCAUGUUAAUUUUUAAAGUCUUUACAUUUGUGAAAGGAAAUAUUCUUAUUCUUGUAUCAGUAGACAUUCACAGUGUAAAGAUACAUUGUCCAAAUAACUAAUAAUAAUUCCAAGUGCUUUCCUGAAGUUUUUCUUCCACUGGAAAAUCAGUGUGAUAUAUAUGCUAAGCAGUGCACUAUAAAUUGUGUAAAAAUAAAAGUUUAUUAAACUUAUGAACUGUUUUUUGUUUCUACU